GAUGAACGCUGGCGGCGUGCCUAACACAUGCAAGUCGAACGGAGUCCAGCCUUAGAGCCCUUCGGGUCAAAGAGGGGAAGACUGAGUGGCGGACGGGUGAGUAACACGUGGGCAACCUGGCUCAUAGAGGGGGAUAACAGAGAGAAAUUUCUGCUAAUACCGCAUAAGCACACACUGCCGCAUGGCAGAGUGUGAAAAGAGAAUCGCUAUGAGAUGGACCCGCGUCUGAUUAGCCAGUUGGCAGGGUAAGAGCCUACCAAAGCGACGAUCAGUAGCCGAUUUGAGAGGAUGAACGGCCACAUUGGGACUGAGACACGGCCCAAACUCCUACGGGAGGCAGCAGUGGGGGAUAUUGCACAAUGGGGGGAACCCUGAUGCAGCGACGCCGCGUGAGUGAAGAAGUAUUUCGGUAUGCAAAGCUCUAUCAGCAGGGAAGAUAAUGACAGUACCUGAAUAAGAAGCCCCGGCUAACUACGUG
rnacentral:rRNA from 1 species